rnacentral:rRNA from 1 species
GACGAACGCUGGCGGCGUGCCUAACACAUGCAAGUCGAGCGAUGAAGUUUCCUUCGGGAAAUGGAUUAGCGGCGGACGGGUGAGUAACACGUGGGUAACCUGCCUCAUAGAGGGGAAUAGCCUCCCGAAAGGGAGAUUAAUACCGCAUAAUAUUACAGUUUCGCAUGAAACAGUAAUUAAAGGAGUAAUCCGCUAUGAGAUGGACCCGCGGCGCAUUAGCUAGUUGGUGAGGUAACGGCUCACCAAGGCGACGAUGCGUAGCCGACCUGAGAGGGUGAUCGGCCACAUUGGAGCUGUGCCACGGCCCAGACUCCUACGGGAGGCAGCAGUGGGGAAUAUUGCACAAUGGGGGAAACCUUGAUGCAGCAACGCCGCGUGAGUGAUGACGGUCUUCGGAUUGUAAAGCUCUGUCUUUGGGGACGAUAAUGACGGUACCCAAGGAGGAAGCCACGGCUAACUACGUGCCAGCCGCCGCCGUAAAAC